AUUGUCAUUGUCUAUCUAUUCAUCAAGUAUAGCUUGUUGACUUUGGAUUGGACAGGCAAUUGAAAGAAUAGUAUGUUAUAAGCCAAUCGCAUGGGGAUGCGAAAGAACUUUUCUUUAUUUUCUUCCUACUCAUUAGCAUGACAUUAGGUAUUAUAUUUUAUUAUUUGCUACAUUAUAUUUUUAUGAUUAUGAUAAAUUUCAUAGAUUAGGACAAUGAUUUUAGGGCCAUGAUGAGAUCAU
rnacentral:lncRNA from 1 species